rnacentral:rRNA from 1 species
AGCGAACGCUGGCGGCAGGCUUAACACAUGCAAGUCGAGCGGGCAUCCUUGUGGUGUCAGCGGCAGACGGGUGAGUAACGCGUGGGAACGUGCCCUUCGGUUCGGAAUAACUCAGGGAAACUUGAGCUAAUACCGGAUACGUGCGAGAGCAGAAAGGUUUAUCUGCCGAAGGAUCGGCCCGCGUCUGAUUAGCUAGUUGGUGAGGUUACGGCUCACCAAGGCGACGAUCAGUAGCUGGUCUGAGAGGAUGAUCAGCCACACUGGGACUGAGACACGGCCCAGACUCCUACGGGAGGCAGCAGUGGGGAAUAUUGGACAAUGGGGGCAACCCUGAUCCAGCCAUGCCGCGUGAGUGAUGACGGCCUUAGGGUUUUAAAGCUCUUUUCUCCGGGACGAUAAUGACGGUACCGGAGGAAUAAGCCCCGGCUAACUUC